AUUGAACGCUGGCGGCAGGCCUAACACAUGCAAGUCGAACGGUAACAGGAAGAAGCUUGCUUCUUUGCUGACGAGUGGCGGACGGGUGAGUAAUGUCUGGGAAACUGCCUGAUGGAGGGGGAUAACUACUGGAAACGGUAGCUAAUACCGCAUAACGUCGCAAGACCAAAGAGGGGGACCUUCGGGCCUCUUGCCAUCGGAUGUGCCCAGAUGGGAUUAGCUAGUAGGUGGGGUAACGGCUCACCUAGGCGACGAUCCCUAGCUGGUCUGAGAGGAUGACCAGCCACACUGGAACUGAGACACGGUCCAGACUCCUACGGGAGGCAGCAGUGGGGAAUAUUGCACAAUGGGCGCAAGCCUGAUGCAGCCAUGCCGCGUGUAUGAAGAAGGCCUUCGGGUUGUAAAGUACUUUCAGCGGGGAGGAAGGGAGUAAAGUUAAUACCUUUGCUCAUUGACGUUACCCGCAGAAGAAGCACCGGCUGACUCCGU
rnacentral:rRNA from 1 species